AUUGAACGCUGGCGGCAGGCCUAACACAUGCAAGUCGAGCGAGCGGCGGACGGGUGAGUAAUGUAUGGGGAUCUGCCCGAUAGUGGGGGAUAACUACUGGAAACGGUGGCUAAUACCGCAUACCAUCGGAUGUGCCCAGGUGGGAUUAGGUAGUGGGUGGGGUAAAGGCUCACCAAGGCGACGAUCCCUAGCUGGUCUGAGAGGAGGACCAGCCACACUGGAACUGAGACACGGUCCAGACUCCUACGGGAGGCAGCAGUGGGGAAUAUUGCGCAAUGGGGGCAACCCUGACGCAGCCAUGCCGCGUGUAUGAAGAAGGCCUUCGGGUUGUAAAGUACUUUCGGUGGCGAGGCGUUACCCGCAGAAGAAGCACCGGCUAACUCCGUGCCAGCAGCCGCGGUAAUUC
rnacentral:rRNA from 1 species